rnacentral:rRNA from 1 species
AUUGAACGCUGGCGGCAGGCCUAACACAUGCAAGUCGAACGAGUGGCGGACGGGUGAGUAAUGUCUGGGAAACUGCCCGAUGGAGGGGGAUAACUACUGGAAACGGUAGCUAAUACCGCAUACCAUCGGAUGUGCCCAGAUGGGAUUAGCUAGUGGGGGGGGUAACGGCUAACCAAGGCGACGAUCCCUAGCUGGUCUGAGAGGAUGACCGGCACAACUGGAACGGAGCCACGGUCCAGACUCCUACGGGAGGCAGCAGUGGGGAAUAUUGCACAAUGGGCGAAAGCCUGAUGCAGCAAUGCCGCGGGUAUGAAGAAGGCCUUCGGGUUGAAAAGUACUUUCGGCGGGGAGGCGUUACUCGCAGAAGAAGCACCGGCUAACUCCGUGCCAGCAGCCGCGGUAAUAC